rnacentral:rRNA from 1 species
CGCCGGGGUAUUACGAGCUUUAGCUUAAAACCCAAAGGACUUGACGGUGUCCCACCCACCUAGAGGAGCCUGUUCUAUAAUCGACACUCCCCGCUUCACCUCACCACUUCUAGCCUAUCAGCCUGUAUACCUCCGUCGUAAGUUUACCGUGUGAACGCCUACAGUGAACUAAAUAACCCUUUCGCUAGCACGUCAGGUCAAGGUGCAGCCAAUGAAGUGGUAAGCAAUGGGCUACAAUCUCUAACCUAGAACAAACGAAUGAACCUAAUGAAAUGGUUUUGAAGGAGGAUUUAGUAGUAAAAAGGAGACAGAAUGUCCUUUUUAACUCGGCACUGGGACGCGU